AUUGUAUUUCUUCUAAUAACUGUUAUCAAAAAAUAAAUUCAGAAACAGCAUUCCAUUAAAAAAAACAAAGAUGACCUUCAAAUCUUAGGAAUCACCUGAAAAAAAGCGUUACCAUCGCAAGGAUUACUUCUGCACCAUUAACAUCCUCUGACAAAGUUGAUAACACGAGAAACGAGCUGG